rnacentral:rRNA from 1 species
UACGUAGGACCCAAGCGUUAUCCGGAUUGACUGGGCGUAAAGAGUUGCGUAGGUGGUCUGUUAAGCGAAUAGUGAAAUCUUGUGGCUCAACCAUAAGGCUAUUAUUCGAACUGGCAGACUCGAGAAUGGGAGAGGUAUCUGGAAUUUCUCAUGUAGGGGUAAUAUCCGUAGAUAUGAGAAGGAACACCAAUGGCGUAGGCAGGAUACUAGCCCAUUUCUGACACUGAGGCACGAAAGCGUGGGGAGCGAACCGG